GGGUCCCGCUGUGAAGUGGGUGGGAGGUUGGGGGCCAGAGAGGGUGCGAUCGGGGGGCUGCCAGUGCAGUUGGGCCCCCCUGGGGGCAGGAGCCCGCCAGAGUCGGGGCCAGGAGGUUGGCAGUUGGGGUGGUUUUCUCCAGACUUGCCCGUCGCCCUCUUAGAGCCCCCAGGGGACGAGGGGCCACUGCGGGACGUAGCCCGGGGCUCGGCCAGGAGGGCAACGGGGGCGGCCAGGUCGGGGUGGCCCGGGCCCCGGGGCAGGGGGAGGCGGCCCUCCGCUCCGGGGACAGAACAGCAGCUCGGGGGCGGAGGGCUCCCCGCGGCCCCUCACCGCGGCCCCCGCGCGCCGAGGCGGAGCAGGUCCCCCGCCGCCGCNNNNNNNNNNGCUGCUGCUGCUGCUGCGGACCCCGCGCGGCGCCCCGGGGACCCCCGGAGGCGGCCGCCGCGCUGGGUGAGUGGGCGCGGGGCGGGCGCGGGGCGGGCGCGGGGCGGCUGCGGGCGGGCGGGCGGGCGGGGCCGGGCCUCACUGCGCCCUCCCCGCAGGCGCGCGGCUGCCGUGGCCGCUGAGGCUGGGCCCCGCGGCGCCCUCGCCCUUGGCCGCGGCGGCGGGAGGCUCGGGGGCGCUGCCGGGCGCGGGCGGGCCGGGCCCGCAGAGGCGCACGCGGCGCCACCGCACCAUCUUCAGCGAGGAGCAGCUGCAGGCGCUGGAGGCGCUCUUCGUGCAGAACCAGUACCCCGACGUGGGCACCCGCGAGCGCCUGGCCGGCCGCAUCCGCCUGCGCGAGGAGCGCGUGGAGGUCUGGUUCAAGAACCGCCGGGCCAAGUGGCGACACCAGAAGCGGUCGGCCACCUCGAGGCUCCUCCCCGGGGCCAAGAAGCCCCCGAAGGAGAGCGGCUGACGGCCUGGAAGCCGCUCGUGGCCUUGGCCGCGUCCCCGGGGCCCGCCGGGGAGGACUCGGGGCCGCCCGAAACCGAGCUGAGAGCGGCCGCGGGGCUCCCGCCGGGGAGGAACUCGCGCUCGGCCCGGAGCCGAGCUGAGAGCGGCCGCGCGGCUCCCGCAGCCCUGGAGCUAGCGCUCGGGGCAAGGGGGGCGGCCCGUGCGUGCCCCCCCCCCCCCCUCCCCGGGCCUAGAGGCCGGGGGGAAUCCCAGGGGGCCCGUGGGCUGGCCCCACGUGCUCUCCUCCCCCCCCCUAGGGUCGGGAGGAUUCCCUGGGGGCCGGGGGGCCUGGGUCCGCUUCAACCUCCCCCCCCCCCCCAGGAGACAGGAACCACUAGCCCCCCCCUGGAGGGGGCCAGCGGGGGCCCGGAAGCCUCCUCUCCCUCCCCUCAUCCCACGUGCUCUCCUCCCCGUGACUAGGGUCGGGAGGAUUCCCUGGGGGCCGGUGGGCUGGGUCCGCUUCAACUCCCCCCCCCCCCCAGGACAGGAACCACUCCUGGGCAGGGGGCCCGGAAGCCUCCUCUCCCUCCCCUCCCCCGCAUGCACACGGCUCCCUCGACCCCGCCUCUGGAGGUUUCGAGCAUUCUGGGGCGGUCGGCUUGCGGCUUGCGUGUCCUGCACCAGGCCUUGGUGUCCAGAGCUGUGGGAUAAGAGCGUUGGGUGAGGUCAUCUCCCUGCCCCGCUCCUUAAUUCUGUGAGCCUCGCCUGCAUCCUGGGAAAUAAAAAAGCAACUGCAAACCGCA
rnacentral:lncRNA from 12 species